rnacentral:lncRNA from 1 species
UAGAAUUCAUAGACAAUGACAGAGAGACUUCUCUACUGACUUUUUCCUGUAUCAAUUUCCAGAAAUGAACCUAAUGUAAAACUCUAUUUGAUUUCAAAGAAAAAAAAGUGAAUGAUCUUAGCAUUUUAUUUUCUAAGUAAGGGUAGUUGGUUGUAAUUUCCUGUUGAACCACUGGAAAAUUAAAACAUAAUAACACACAAAUAGAUACUCCUCAUCCUGAAAUUCGUACAGAAGAAUAAAGCUGACCAUUCCUCUGUAUUAAAUAUGCUCUUGCAAAGCUUAGAGAAACCUGCCAGUUCUGUUUUUUUAUUUCAACAGAAAAAGCUUAGAUAUGGCAGAGAUUUAAAGGAACUCCCUCCUGCAGGUAUCUGGGACACCCUGGAAUCCAGGAUUCAGUCUCUGAAGGAAUGAUGGAGCUGCACACUUUAGUGCUCACAGUAAAGGACCAAUCACAUAAUCAAGGUUGCUUCACUGUCAUCUUCUGGCAUGGACCUCAAGUGUUCAUUCUGAACCAGUCUGAAGUCAGCCUCCCUGCUGCAGCACCUCCUGUAUCAGAUAAGACAACACAAUCACUUCGCUGUCACUGUUGGAGCACUAAAAUGCUCUGGAAACAAAGACAUGGGGUUGAAAAUCCUGCUGGAACACAAAGACAGCCCUACUUUGUUCAAUUUGUUUUGCUGCUGCUUACAGUAUCCAUAUUUUCACAUUGUCUAUGACCCUCUGCUAAAAAUACAUCAGUGGAAAACCAACUUCUGUAAAGACUCUAUUGCAAGACUUUAUUUUUCACCUGAUUGAGGAUCACAAGGCAAUGGUUAUGUUAUAGAAACACUUAGUUACUUCAUUAAUUUGCAGGGUUGUCAUAUUUAACUCUAGAAAUGUGUACUGUAGUUUCCAGGAACAUUAUUUUUUCCUAUAAUUAUAUGGUCCAUAGUAUAAUUAUAUGGUCCAAAACAGUGCAUAUAGUUUGGAUUGUUUUCCACCAAAUCUAGCUUCAUUUUAUAUGAUACCAAGAGAUGUUAAUGUCUCUUGGUCUCAAUGUAAUGUUUUGUUUUCACAAAAUGCCCUCUAUUUAGCACAGCACCUGGAAAAUGUUUCAUCUAGUUGGUGAAUGACUUUUGAACAGCUGUCAGUAAUGGAGCUGUUUAAUUCAUCAGUGGAAAACAUCAGGAGGAAGUUCUUCACAGAGAGAGUGGUUGCACACUGGAACAGGCUCCCCAGGGAAGUGGUCACUGCACCGAGCCUGACUGAAUUUAAGAAGAGAUUGGACUGUGCACUUAGUCACAGGUCUACCCAAAAGUUCAGACCAUGUGACUAAGGGGUAGACCUGGCCGGUGUCAAAAGUUGGACUUGAUGAUCUUUAAGGGUCCCUUCCAACUCAGGAAAAAAUUUAAAAAAAAAAAAAAAAAAGUAAAAAAUGAAAAAUGCUGAUGCAAGAGUACAUGAGUACAUUAUGAUUUAAAUACCGUAACAAUUAAUAUAAGGAACCAAUAAUCCCAUCAGAAAAUACGUUCUGGUUUGAGGAUUGAGCUCUUUCUUUCAAAUUAUAGAUGAGCUAAUUUUAAUUUAUUCUUUGUUACACAAAACGAUGCACAUAGGUAUUAUAUUCAAUAUAUUCUACCCCGAGUCUGCACUGGAAGGAACAAAGAUAUUCUAUGAAACUGUUGCACAGUAUAACCAUAAGAACCAUGCUGUAAUAGGAAGUAAUUUGGUAAAAACAUCCAAAAACAUCAAUGUAAUAUAUAUAGAGAGAAAUAUGUAUAUAAAGAAAAAUAUAGAUAUAAAAGUAUAAAAUAUACAGCCCAAAAUUUAGCUAUAUUUGUAUUAGUUUUAAAUUACACGUGAUAAAUAUGAAUGCAUUAAAUAUUACAUUAAAAUCGUUUGAAAUAUGCCUUUAUUGUUCUGAAAAAUAAACUGCAACUCCAAACCUUUGUGUAUCUGAGG